CGUAUCAGCAUUCAAAACUGUGGUUCUUGAGUAAUGCAGAGGUAGGCGGAAUUUCCCGGUGUAGCGGUGGAAUGCGUAGAUAUCGGGAGGAACACCAGUGGCGAAGGCGGCCUACUGGGCAUCAACUGACGCUGAGGCUCGAAAGCAUGGGUAGCAAACAGGAUUAGAUACCCUGGUAGUCCAUGCUGUAAACGAUGAUUACUAGGUGUGGGAAGAUUGACCCUUUCCGUGCCGCAGUUAACACAAUAAGUAAUCCACCUGGGGAGUACGACCGCAAGGUUGAAACUCAAAGGAAUUGACGGGGGCCCGCACAAGCAGUGGAGUAUGUGGUUUAAUUCGAAGCAACGCGAAGAACCUUACCAGGUCUUGACAUCCAACGACCGCCUAAGAGAUUAGGCUUUCCUUCGGGACGUUGAGACAGGUGGUGCAUGGUUGUCGUCAGCUCGUGUCGUGAGAUGUUGGGUUAAGUCCCGCAACGAGCGCAACCCUUAUUACUAGUUACUACGCAAGAGGACUCUAGUGAGACUGCCGUUGACAAAACGGAGGAAGGUGGGGAUGACGUCAAAUCAUCAUGCCCUUUAUGACCUGGGCUACACACGUACUACAAUGGCUAUUAACAGAGAGAAGCGAGACCGCAAGGUGGAGCAAACCUCAGAAAAAUAGUCUCAGUCCGGAUUGGGGGCUGCAACCCGCCCCCAUGAAGCCGGAAUUGCUAGUAAUCGCGGAUCAGCAUGCCGCGGUGAAUACGUUCCCGGGCCUUGUACACACCGCCCGUCACACCAUGAGAGCCGGGGGGACCCGAAGUCGGUAGUCUAACCGCAAGGAGGACGCCGCCGAAGGUAAAACUGGUGAUUGGGGUGAAGUCGUAACAAGGUAACCGUAAAGGGCGAAUUC
rnacentral:rRNA from 1 species